UCAGCUGGAGCUCGACUGGGAUGUCUGAUGGAGCGGAAUGGCUCUUUAUCCCAUCGAUCUAGGAGAAGCUCGGAUGUUUUUGAGGUUGCUGAUGAGUCUACUGUUGUCGGAUGCCUCAUGCGCUGAUGCUACAAGUGGGAGUCAUCUGCUGUAGAAGCUCGGAUGGAGGCUUUCUGUUGGUGAAGUCCGACAGGAGUUCGAUUGCUA
rnacentral:lncRNA from 1 species